AUUGAACGCUGGCGGCAGGCCUAACACAUGCAAGUCGAGCGAGCGGCGGACGGGUGAGUAAUGUCUGGGAAACUGCCUGAUGGAGGGGGAUAACUACUGGAAACGGUAGCGAAUACCGCAUACCCUCAGAUGUGCCCAGGUGGGAUUAGCUAGUAGGUGGGGUAACGGCUCACCUAGGGGACGCUCCCUAGCUGGUCUGAGAGGAUGACCAGCCACACUGGAACUGGGAACCGGUCCAGACUCCUACGGAGGGCAGAGGGGGGGAAUUUUGCACAAUGGGGGCAAGCCGGAUGCAGCCAUGCCGGGGGGGUGAAGAAGCCCUUCGGUUUGUAAAGCAUUUUCGGCGGGGGGGCGUUACCGGCAGAGGAACCACCGGCUAACUCCUUGCCAGCAGCCGCGUUAAUU
rnacentral:rRNA from 1 species